GGGGUCUGGGAGGGUGGGUGUGGUUUGGUAUUUGUAUUUUUGUUUAUUUUAUUUCAUUGUUUUUAAUAUCCUGCUUGAAUGGACAGCACUUUGUGCUACAUUGUAUGUAUGAAAAGUGCUUUAAAAAUAAAGUUUGAUUGAUUGAUUGAUAGUGAAGGUAAUAACUCUGGUGGUGAAAUUUGUGAAAAAUCUGUUUCAGCUUGUUUUUCCACACAGAAUAACCACAGGGAUGGAAAAGUAGAUCAUUUAAGAACUAGAUCAAUCAACAGGGUCAAUAAUGAAAUCAAUAACUUCAACUUCUUCCUGUUAAAUUUUAACAUUAUAUGAUAUCCUGACAGUAAAUCAGACAAGGAUAAACUCUCUGAAUAAACCUUAAAACCAUCCCGACAACACUGAAGCUCUUCUUCGUAGAAAGCACCUGAGAUAGUGAAGCUGUAAAUAACCUCAGUACAAAGAUAGAAAUAUUUGCUUUUGAGAAAAGUACUUCCACUAUUAGGAUGUCUUCAUUUUGAGUUGUUGAUCAGAGAAAAUGUGUGUUGGCUCGAGAGGCGACCUGUGUCACCGACGGAACAGAAAUAAAUUGAACCUGUUGAGCGUAACAGCCUCUUCAGCCCCUCUCUCCGUCUGUUCUGCUGCUUUCAAGUCAAGACGUUCAGCGCUGCGUGACGACCUCCGACCCCCAGUGGCCAACCUCUCUCUUUGACUCUCUCUCUCGCUGUGACUUCCACUCCGGUGGGACUAACCUUGUUAAAUAAAGCCUCAUCUAAAAUAACUCCAUCCUGCCUGUCUGCUCCGCUCCGCCAUAAAUCCUCCAUCAAACACAGAGCAGAGAGCCGAUCGAUAUCAAACCACCAACAGAGAGAAGUGAGUGUGUGUUUGUGUGAGUAAGUGUGUGUGUGUGUGAUCUCGGCUUUAUCUUUGGACUGUUUGUACUCACGACAGUCCUUCGUUAGCCAAAUACAGCUCAGCCAAGGUUAUUUACACUCACUCAUUUCAAACCUAUUCAUCCUGAGGUUGACGAUGUUUGGCUGCUGUUUGGCUCUUCUCGCUGCAUAUUUAAAGAUGUUUAUGGGUUUAAAUGUUUAUUAAGAUUGUUUUUACGUUUGAUCUUUACAGUCAAACUUCUUAAACACAAAGGUAGUCACAGUAAAAGAGGGAAAAUCCAUCCACAUUAAAGCUGUCCGGAGUGGCACAGCGGUGUUAUGGUAGCACUGUCGCCUCAUAGCAAGAAGGUCCUGGGUUUGAAUCCGGGUCAGGGCGUUUCUGUGUGGAGUUUCGUCGAUAUGUCAGCCCUGCGAUGAACUGGCGACUUGUCCAGGGUGUCCUCUGCCUUCACCCGAAGAUGCUGGGAUAGGCUCCAGCCCCCCCGCGACCCCCAACGAGAAAAAGCGAUAGAAAAUGGAUGGGUGGAUGGAUUAAAGCUGUCCUGUCAAAAAAGCACAUAUGCUGUAUGCUGGAAGGCACCAAAAGGGCUGAAUUAACCAUUCACAACAUCUGCAUGCAAGGUCAGCUAUUGAUGUGUUCUAGGUCAAAUGUUUACUGUGAGACACAAAUCUGCUUCUUGCUAUUUCCCUGAAGCCAAUAAGGUUCACUGACUUCCUUGAAUGAAUCAGACAUGAUGGAUCUGACCUCCAUUCAAAGACCCACUCCGAUGAAAAUCAUGUUUUUCUUGUUGUCUACAUGUUUCUGAUACUAGAGGACAUAUCAUGAGAAAAAAAAGUGACCCACGGAGACCCACAGAGUCCAUCAUAGACUGCAGCGGGGGGACUCGGCUCAAGGAAGAACAUUUAUGAUCAUUCCGUUAUCAUUUCCUUGAAGUAAUAAUCACCAUGUUAAUCAUUUUGCACAGCAGACGCGGUAGAUCUUCUUCCUUAGCGUCUUGUCUGAUUGCAUUUCCAUAAAUUAAUUAUCUUAGAUGUUCUUUCUUGAGCUGCGUCACCCCGCUGCAGUCUGUAAUGGACUGGCCCGAGGUCCUCCUACAAACAAGCAGCUGCUGGGAGCAAGUAGGUGAGUUGUGUUUAGUCUCUUUGCUAAAGAAAAUAGGCUGUGGCUAGGACCCUAUAUGUACUUUUGAUAAAGUUAGGUGCUGUUCUUAGCAUUAAUAGCAUUUAAACAAGCGGUCGGCAACAUUCAUCUCUCGAUGGGGAGUCUAACUUGAUGUUAUGUGGGUUUGACCCUAAAUUAAUUUUACACCGAAAUAUCCCUUUAAGUAGUAAAAAAUAAAUAAAUCAGAGCGGGACUUUAACAAACUGUUCAAAUGUUGUUUUUUUUGCCUAUUGAGGACAGACCGGGCAAAGCUUUCGACUGACACAAGUUCCUGUCCACACCACAGGUGUUUCUGAAUAUCCUUCUGUCUACAUGUCGACACCGAAAUGGUUGGAAAUGCUCACAUAAGCCCACAAGAGCAGUAGGUGGUGAUAACCGGUCAUCAGUCCACUGUGUUUAAACACCGGAUGAAUAAAUACAGAUUGUGACAUAUUCAUUUGCUGUGCUGUCUCAGUACUAUGAGAACCACUGAGAUUUCCUCUUUAACAUUUAUUUAGACCCAGCAGCACUAAGCAGACUUUAACAAACUGGUAGCAUAUUCGAUGAAAGAAAAGCACCCCAAAUGGAGACCAAAAGGAAUGUCAUAACCAAAAUGCAAAACACAAGAAAAAUGUACAGACUGAAAAUCCAACUCUUUAAGGUUCAAAGGCCCAAGCAGAAGAAAGCAGAAGAAAGAAGAAGAAAGCAGAACCAUGCAGGAAAGACCUGAGAGGUUAAUGUACCUGCUGCAGGUCUCCAGUCACAGCUGUUUUUGAGCUGCUUAUGAAGUCUGAUCAAUAUCUGCUCACUGAAGUUACUUUACCUGAGUCUUACAGUUAAACCAACAACACUUGACAGCUAAGUCAAUAAUAUUUCAUCAUUUUGGUCUGUGCAUUUUAUAAAGCAUAAAUAAAAACCUCAACUCUAAAACGAGAUCAUUUAGAGAGUUAUAAAACUCCUCUCACACCUAAUGUAUUCGCAGUCUGUUGCAAUAAAGUGUGCAUCUGUCAAUCAUCUAUCCAAGACUGUAGUACUUUUAAGUUUAUCUUAAAUUUUCUCACUCCACAGGGAAGUUUGUCAAGAUAUGUUUUUUGGUGAGGAGAAGUUGUUAACCCUGACCAAAACAAACUCAAACUUCUUUUUGAGACGGCCUCGGCUAACUUUGACUGACUCUUUGAAUGUUCUCGACAGCUGAGAAGGCCAAACAACCUGCAAAGGCCUGAGGAGACACACACUGCAAACAUGUCAAAGUCCACAAGAAAUACAACAAAAAGAAACUGAAAUGGAUUAUCAGAAAUGAGUUUAAUAAGAAGAGGCAGGUAUGAGCAGAAUUUAGGCCCUGCAUGAGUGAAUUCCUCUGUAAUACUUCAUCACUUCCAUUUCUUGGUCUGAGUCUUUUAUUUUGUUGUUUUAUGACUGCCCCUUUUUCCUAUCUCUCUCC